rnacentral:rRNA from 1 species
GACAGAGGGUGCAAACGUUGUUCGGAUUUACUGGGCGUAAAGCGUGUGUAGGCGGCUUUGCAAGUCGGAUGUGAAAUCCCACGGCUCAACCGUGGAAGUGCAUCCGAAACGGCAUCGCUUGAGUCUCGGAGAGGAAGGUGGAAUGCUUGGUGUAGAGGUGAAAUUCGUAGAUAUUAGGAAGAACACCGGUGGCGAAGGCGGCCCACUGGUCCGGUACUGACGCUGAGGUGCGAAAGCGUGGGGAGCAAACAGG